rnacentral:tRNA from 1 species
GGUCUCUUAGCUCAGUUGGUAGAGCACCUGACUGUUAAUCAGGGUGUCGCUGGUUCGAGUCCAGCAGGGACCGCCA